UUUACAUAUUUUUAGCUCAUCAAUCUUCUGACGGUCACUUACUAAUGCCACUGAGAAUCAGCAUAUCGGCUCUGCUCUURGCUCUGACAAUAAUCUAAUUUGCGCUCGUGUACUACAUCAAGAAAAAGGAACCCCAAUAUCAGCCUCAGCUUCAGAUGGUCCAGAUGGUUGAGCCUAACGACAACGACCUGUACGGAGCAGAAAGAAGUUCCUGGAGAAGAAAAAUUCCCCAACACUCAAAAAAAUGAACUUAGGGGGUUAUUAUAUUAACAAAAGAAUAUAUCCUUUUAACACAAUAAUUUCAUGUUUCAAACGAAAACGUGAUAAAAUCAUGUUUGAUAAACAAAUCUAAUCAUGUUGACAUAACAUGAUUCAUUAUAGUCAGACUCAUCUUGUGCAGAAGACGACGAGCGAGAUCACGGGAGAUCACGCGAGAUUAUGGGAAUUCACAUCGGGCCACGCGGGAGAAUCUUUUUGCGUGCCCGGGAAAACUCCAGCGGCAGUUAUGAGAAGACAAAAUUUUCCUGGCAGCGUUGUGCAUAUACAUAUCCACAGUGUUAUAUGUUAGAUCACGUUUCUAUGUAAUUGAUGUCCUCAAGUCAGUGGCUAACAUGUGUUAACAUCACAUGAAGUGAUCGUUAGCUGGCUAUUAAUCAGCGUUUCUCUAACAUUUGCACCGUUUCCUGCUUGCUCCAUGCUUGUGUCAAAAUAUUGAAUUAAGGUGGUCAUUGCAUUUAUAAAAAAAAAUAACAUGUUUUAACAAAAUUAUUUUAUGUUUCAAAGGCAAAUGUGAUAAAAUCACGUCAAAUAAAAAUAACAUUCAACAACCUCGCGUUAAUAAAAUCUAUUCAAAUUGAGACAACUUGAUUCAGUCAGACUGAUCUCACGCCGAAGAGGGUCUGUCGAAACCAGGAGAUCACGCGAGAUGACGGAAGAUCACGCGAGAUAACUGUCUUACACCUGAGAAAACUUCAGUGUUUUUUCAAGAGAAGCCGAAGAUUCCUGGUGUGCAUCGGCUUAAUUUGAAAAAACGUAAGAUUCAAUCUAUUUUCAGCCGUCUAAAACAAAAUAAAAAGAUGUAAAUUAAAAUCAUCAGACUUUUAAAAAAACAUUUUUGCUAUGUUUGAUCAGGUUUAUAUGUAAUUGUUUACUGACUCAAGUCAGUGGCUAACAUGUGCUAACAUCACAUGAAGUGAUGGUUAGCUGGCAAUUAAUCAGGAUUAAAAGUGUUGGUAGUAAAACACUUUUACAACACGAACGGUGAUUUUAGAAAGGAUUUCAAUUUCAGCAAAAAUGAUUCUGACUAUUGGUUGGGGCCUUGGUUAUCUGGCCACAAAGGGUCUUGAAAAAUUACUUGGAAAUAGUAUUGCACAAGAAGAAGAUGACACCGACACAGAGAGGUCAUCUGACGAGAGUUUUGAGAAUGGCUUUGAUGAAGAAUCCGAAGAGUACAAGAGGUGGAAAUACUUUGAUUUUGAGGAACUUAUUCCUCAAGAACUUGAGGAAGAACCGGUUUCUGAAGAGAAAAACAGCAUGGACACUACCUCAGAAGUUGCCAGUACCACUUCAGGUGUCUUGACUGAUUUGACAGUAAUGACUCCUGAAUAUACUGUUGCUUUGAAUAGCAACAGUUUUUUUGAUCAUGUUUUGGAGCUCCUCUAGGAAACUGACUCUGGGGAUAGUGGAAGUCUUGAUAUUUCCCUGGAACAAAGGGAUCUGGCUGUUGACGCGAGCUGUGACAGCAAGCAAAAUAAUGCAGAUCAUUUUUCUGGCAUGGACGCUGAAGAUAACGUUUCAAGGAAGAAAGUCCAUUUUGAAAACUCGCAUGCUGAGAAUGUUGUGGAACAUUUGGAAGUCUUUUCUGAGCGUUUUCUUCCAAAAAUAUGGUCUUCUGAAGAAGAAUACGCAGAAGACAACAUUGAGUUCUCAGAGAAUUUUGACAGGAGGGAUUUUUCCAGUCAGUCUCUGAGCAUAACUCCUCCGACAUAUUCGUCCUAUUUUCAUAAAGUUUCUGUGUGUUCUACUUCAGUAGAAACUUUUUCGGAAGAAUGCUCAAAAUGUGACGUUCAAACUGAGCCACAACAUUGUGACGGCAUGACUGGAUAUUUCUUUCAUGGAAGUUCAUUCUGACAGCAGAAAUGCCAGAAAAGUGAGGUCACAAGUUUCCAAGUGGUUUCGCCAGCUAGGGAAUAGGUUGGCUAACCUCCGACCAAGGAGAAAGAACUAACUAUUCUCUUUCAUGGCGAAGAAAAGUUUGAGAAGCUCAUCAAUGACCUGAUUUCACCUCUAGAAGAGCUUCAAACACAUUUCGGAGAAAGUGGAUGGAACAUGGCCCGCACAGAGUCGUUCCCCAACUCCAUUGUCAAUGCGGCUUAUCGGAGUUAUGGCCACAAGGUUUCCAGUGCCUGUUUUGGUGUGCUUCAAGGGUGGACUAUGACUAUGGACUAUGCUGGAGAGUGUCCCUCCUAGAGACUUCUUUGUUCUGCUGGGGGAUUUCAACGCUCACACAAGCAAUUACAGUGAGACCUGGAGGCUUGUGGUUGAGAGGAUUGGCCACCCUGAUCUAAACUUGAGUAGUUUACUGUUAUUGGACUUUGGGCUCAUCAUGGAUUGUACACCUUGUCCAAGCAUAAGUGUUAUAAAUUCAAGUACUUCAAUGACUCAAGUCUAUGCUUUUAUUUUGAAGUGGUUCCUUUUAUUGGAAGGAGGUUUGUUCCAUUUAUUUCUUCUUGACGUUCAGUUGAUCUGUUUGCUGUUUACUGUUGAGACUGGUGCCACAGUCAUUGAUGAUGUAAGUUGUGGUGUUAGUCAUGUGUCAUGAAUGGGUAGAUGUUGGUUGUCACUUCUGACAACACUUCUUGGUUACAAGUGUGUUUCUAUAGUUUUUGAAAGUCUGUUUUGCUCUUAAUGGUUGUGAUUUAGUGUUGAAACUAUCUUUGUAUUUGGCUGUUGGUCUUGAGAUUUGGGCAGUUGGAAAUAGAUUGAUUCCUCUGCUAUUCUGCAUCAUUAAAAUUUAAACAGUGCAUUAGAAAGGGAAUUAAUGCUGAUAUUUAAGGUUUAUUUGCUCACUGAUGUUAAUUUUAAAUGGUAAUUUGAAUCUGUAUUAUUGUAUUUUCAGAAACUGCUUCAAUUUAUUUGCACCGCCCUGUUAGUAAUUCUUCAGUAAACCAUUUAAACACCCUGA